ACUAGUGCAAUGAUAAGAAUUUAGUAGUGAUUAUUAAGAGCAGUCACAGAGACUUAGUGGUAGGUGAGAACUAAGGCAGUAAUAAUCACGAAUUACACUCUUGGAGCAUGUUCAUAUGAACCGGUCUUUACCGUUAUCAAAUUGAGUGGUUGAAUCAUAGAUUUAACAAGUUGGGUGGUACCGCGAACUUUCGUCCCUUCA
rnacentral:ncRNA from 1 species